GCGCCUGUGGUUGAACGGUACAAUGGGCGAUUCCCAAUCGCUUGGCCCGGGUUCGACUCCCGGCAGGCGCA
rfam:Plasmodiophora brassicae isolate e3 genome assembly, contig: scaffold_57